CGGUUGGGAUCCCAGCUUAAUAGAACUACCUCUUGGAUUGAGAGGACUGGCUUCCAAGGCGUCGUUUUGCACCCAAGGGAGCUCUCUGUUACUGAUUCUGAUGACAAGAGCAAGUGGCUCUGGCACUGGCUCAUGCUGAAAACUCGAGAUCACGAGAACAUCAAGGUUCCCCAGCUCGUAGGAGAUGAAGUAUACAUCGAUGAUUUGUACCUAAUUCAGUGCACCCAAAAAAAAAAGAAGAAGAAGAGGGAAAUUUGUUUGCUUUAGAUUUGAGUUUUGAGUUCAUUGUUUACUGCACAUUAUUGUAGAUUGGUUCUACUAAGGAAAUGAGAUGGUGGGUUGGGACUGUAACUUCCUGAUGUAUUUUUGUUUGAUGAGUUGAAAUCAUUUGUAAGGAUAAUUUUGAUCCAAUUAGAGUUCACUUUAGGAGUAUUGUUAUGUUUCUUAGUUAUUCAACUUUAAAUGGGAAAAUGAGGGAACAUAUAUGUAUCACAAUUAACCAUAAAUGUGACAAAUAAGCAUAUUAUGUGA